GCGGCGGACGGGUGAGUAACACGUGGGUAACCUGCCCAUAAGACUGGGAUAACUCCGGGAAACCGGGGCUAAUACCGGAUAAUAUUUUGAACCGCAUGGUUCGAAAUUGAAAGGCGGCUUCGGCUGUCACUUAUGGAUGGACCCGCGUCGCAUUAGCUAGUUGGUGAGGUAACGGCUCACCAAGGCAACGAUGCGUAGCCGACCUGAGAGGGUGAUCGGCCACACUGGGACUGAGACACGGCCCAGACUCCUACGGGAGGCAGCAGUAGGGAAUCUUCCGCAAUGGACGAAAGUCUGACGGAGCAACGCCGCGUGAGUGAUGAAGGCUUUCGGGUCGUAAAACUCUGUUGUUAGGGAAGAACAAGUGCUAGUUGAAUAAGCUGGCACCUUGACGGUACCUAACCAGAAAGCCACGGCUAACUACGUGCCAGCAGCCGCGGUAAUACGUAGGUGGCAAGCGUUAUCCGGAAUUAUUGGGCGUAAAGCGCGCGCAGGUGGUUUCUUAAGUCUGAUGUGAAAGCCCACGGCUCAACCGUGGAGGGUCAUUGGAAACUGGGAGACUUGAGUGCAGAAGAGGAAAGUGG
rnacentral:rRNA from 1 species